CUGGGGUUAAAGCGAGCUACGAAUUGCCUUGUGCAUGCAGACGCGGUAAUUCCAGCUCCUAUAAUCGUUAUUAAAGUUGUUGCAGUUAAAAAGCUCGUAGUUUGAUUUAGGGUUUAUUUUUAAAAUGGAACUUAUCCUUUCUGGUAUUUCUAUGAUUGGAUUUGUUCCUAUAAACCUUUACGAUAAAUAAUAAACGUCUGUUCUUCAUUGAAUGGGUGUUUUAUUUUUAUCCUUUUACUUUGAAAAAAUUAGAGUGCUCAAAGCAGGCAUUAUUUAUUUUGUCUUGAAUACUUUAGCAUGGCAUAAUAAAAUAUGACUCUUAUUCUAUUUUAUUGGUUUUUUAGAAUAUCAAAGUACAUUUUUUUUCUAAUAGCAAUAUUAGAGAAAGGAUCUAUUUGGAGUAAUGAUUAAUAGAAAUAGUUGGCGGUGUUUAUAUUUCAUUGUCAGAAGUGAAAUUCUUGGAUUUAUGAAAGAUAAACUUAUGCGAAAGCAUUCUUCAAGAAUAUUUUCAUUAACAAAGAACGACUGAUUAAGGAUCGAAGACGAUCAGAUACCGUCGUAGUUUAAUCUAUAAAUUAUGCCGACCAGGGGUUAGAGAAUGUGUUAUACUGAAUCAAGUUCGCAAGGCCUUGGUUCAAUUACUUCUUUACAACCUUUGUGAGAAAUCAUUGAGUGUUUGGGUUCUGGGCGUAGUAUGGUCGCACGACUGAAACUUAAAGGAAUUGACUGGAUGUGCACCACCAGGGAGUGGAGCCUGCGGCUUAAUUUGACUCAACACGGGGCAACUCACCAGGUCCGGACAUGGUUAGGAUUGACAGAUUGAAAGCCUCUUUCUUGAAUCUAUGGGUGGUUGAUGCAUGACCCUUCUAAGUUGGCGGAAUGAUCUGUCAGGGUUAUUUCCUAUAACGAACAAGACCACAGCCUAUUAAAAAAAAACCGGAAUUACCUUUUUCAAAAGGGAUUGAAGCAGUGAAAUCCUUUUUCCUAUUUUGCGGGAGUUUUUUUCUACAAAAAAGGUAGGGAAACCCCUGUGGGGACUUCCUUUAUUUAUUCCAGUUUUUAAGUUACUUCUUAGAGGGACUAUUAACGUUAAACUUUGUUUUUAGUUAUUGGAAGUUUGUGGCAAUAACAGGUCUGUGAUGCACAGGGCAAUUGCGCCAAUCC
rnacentral:rRNA from 1 species